UAUAUCAUAUAGAAACACCAGUUGCCGUACGAUCACUGAAGUUAAGCAUCGUCGAGCCUGGUCAGUACCUAGAUGGGUGACCGUUUGGGAAUACCAGGUGCUGUAAG
rnacentral:rRNA from 1 species